ACGCGAGCUGGGUUCAGAACGUCGUGAGACAGUUCGGUCCCUAUCCGUCGCAGGCGUAGGAAAUUUGAGAAGACCUGUCCUUAGUACGAGAGGACCGGGAUGGACGUAUCUCUGGUGUACCAGUUGUCCUGCCAAGGGCAUGGCUGGGUAGCUAUGUACGGAAUGGAUAAGCGCUGAAAGCAUCUAAGCGCGAAGCCAACUUCAAGAUAAGAUUUCCCACCGCAAGGGUAAGACCCCAGAAAGACUAUCUGGUUGAUAGGUCGAAGGUGUAAGUGCAGCAAUGUAUUUAGCUUAUCGAUACUAAUAGGUCGAGGACUUGACCAA
rnacentral:rRNA from 1 species